UGGUCCCAUGCAAAGUGGUGCAUCUCAAACCAUGGGAAAUUAAUUAGCACGCACCAAUCAUUGAAAUGUUUACUUUAUUCUCAUAUUUUAUCCUACAUUAUAUAUAUAUAUAUAGAGAGAGAGAUGGGCUGGAAUGCUAUCGGUAGCAAAUAGACUCCAUUGCAACCCAUUUGUUUUUGAUAAUGGAGCCUCCAAAUCGACGAUCGGCACAGUUAAAUAUGAUUUAUACCACUUGAAGUAUUUACAAACGAAAUUUCAAAUUUUUUCAACAUCUCUAGUUUCAAAAUUUAUAAUUUUAAUACUUCAUAUGAGACGUUUUCUCGUUUAAUGGCGUGAAGAUAUCCAAAUCAAUUGAAUUUUAAUUAAAAUUUUUUUAAAACUAUUUAAAAUAAGAUCUAUACUCUUGAUCUUGGCUACAAGACUCCUAUCAUCAUUGUUUAAAUGAUAUUCAUUUUCAGCCGUUCAUUUUUAUAUCUACUUGAUGAACAAGAGAAAAAUAUCGAAAAAAUAUGAAAUUUGAUUUCUAUAUUAGAUGCUGCAAAUCUUAUGUGUUUUAAUUGUAAUAAAGAAGACUCUAUACUAUAUUAUCCCUUGAGUAGAGCUACUAUGCUAUCGGAAGUAUAGAGCAUCUGGUGCUUCCGACUUUUUUGCCCUUAGAUCAACUGCUUUGAUCAUUUCUACCCUUUGGAUUAAUACUAUUAUCCUGUGGGGCCCAUUCAACUCUAGGGGUACUAUUCAACCCUAAGGGGGAGGAUCUGUUGCUUCCGACUUUUUGACCCUUAUAUCAACUCUUUUGAUUAUUUCUAUCCUUUGGAUUAAUACUGUUAUCCUGUGAGGACCACUCAACCCUAGGGAUACUACUCAACCCUAGAGGGACCAUAUUCAUUUCAAUCGUAUAUAUAAUUCUUGAUCCAAUGAUCAAAAAGUUGGAAGCAUCAAAUUCUUUAUAUUUCCGAUAGUAUAGUAGCUCUACACUUACCCCUUUUAAUUAAUUCGAUAGGGACAAAUAUAUUGCAUGGAAUUUAUAAAUAAAACUUUUAAUGAGCAAAGCUCAAGUGUUUUCGUUUUAUUCUUUUGAGAAAAAUGUAUUGAAUAUAAAAUAUAAAAAAUAUUAUUCUUUAAUAGCUUAGAUUUUCGUACAGAAUAGAGAAUAAUGGUUGUUUCAUUUAAUCUAAUAAAAAUAUCUAUAUACAAUAAACCACAAUUAAUGUUACAGCAUUAAUUACUCUUUUUUUCUCUAAUUAUAAGUUUUCGUUGCUAGCUACAAUUAUUAUUGUAACGACCCGACCCGCUAGCAAUAAUAACUCGUUGGGUCUAAACAAUCGACCGAAAAUAUUUAAGUCCAGUUAUUAUUACUAGGGUGGAAUCCUGAUAUAUGCCCACUACAACAAAAUUAGAUUACAUGGAUAUAUUUUUGGGACACUUUUGUGUAAGUGUUCUAUUUAUGCCAAAAAAUUUUAAAAAAAUCUUUUAAACCCUAAAUAUAAAGCUCAAUUCAACCAAAAAUAAAAAGUUUCUCUACUCAACCAACCCCACCCAGCCCACUCGGCCCGCUUACAAAUAGAAAAAGAAAAAAAAAAAAUUGAUCACCAUCUUCCCUUCUCCUCCUUCGUUGUUACAGCCGACGAGAUAGGGUUUCGGCAGGUAGAGUUCAACCUCGAGGAUCUCGUAGGGACCGUAAAGGAUUAUGAUUGCCACGUGUCCCUCUGCCACAGGUUACUGGCGGAGUUGGUGCCAAACAUCAAGGCGGCCCCACAUAUAACAACACCUUUAAAAAGUGUCGGUAAUUUAACCAGCAAUAUUUUUUUUGAUCUGUAUCGACAUUUAAAAGUGUCGCUAU
rnacentral:lncRNA from 1 species